UGGCCACAUCCCGUUGAAGCACCGUUUCCAGUACGAUCACCGAAGUUAAGCAUCGUUGAGCCUGGUUAGUAUCUAUAUUAGUGAGUACUUGAGAAUAUCAGGUGCUGUAAG